GGAAAAGACAGGAUAUAUUUGGGGCGAUAUAUCUUCCCUGCUGUGCUGGGGCAUACAGCACAUAUAGAAGAGAAGUGGAAGAUCAGGCAGGAGGGUAGGGGAGUGCCAGGUGACUUCGAGUCUUGUGAGCCAGAUUAAGGUGUGUAGAAUAAUGUCCUCUCCAGGAGAAAGACCUUGAAUAGUUUUCAAAGUGUGCUUGGUUUUCUCUGUCGCUGCUCUGAGGUAGGGAACUGGAAGUCCCAAAGCAAAGGCUGAGCUGUUUAAGCUCACCAACUCAGUUGAUUUGGAGAAAGCUGCUCAAAGCUUAAGCUGGGCUAUCUCUUGCCAUCUGCGUUUCUGCUCCAGGGCUCUGACUGCUUACGGUUAUCUGUUGAAAACAUAAGAAACGCAUAGAAGCCCGGGCGAUCCACAACCAGGAAGAAGAACACGAUGUACCCGGGUGUUGGGAGGAGAUUAUUUGUUAUAAAAAGAAGGAAGGCAGAGAGAAUAUGGGGACACCUAAUGUGCUGUGUUAUCGGCCCCUGCCUCACCUCUCCUACGUGGGCACCCUUGCUAUCCUAUAGCCACAGUGAGGAAGUCUUGCGUCAGCCUCAAAGCUCCUCCAGCUCCAGAAGAGACAGGAAUGACCCUGGCUGGCUCAUUACACAUGUGUCCAGGAGGCUGGGUUCUAGAAGAUCCUGGUUCUGACCCUGAAAGACUCCAUUUGGACCCAUGUGCAAGCCUUGAGUCUUGGUAUUGUUCCACUGCUGUUUCCUCUUAGGAUUAAAGAAAAUGCUCCAGUUAAUCACAGGAAAUGUCAAUUUUUUAUGUGUUAAUUUGCUCCUAGAAGCUUUCUACAGUCAACAUGGCACAGUCAUUUCUUUAGGUCCAUGUUUC
rnacentral:lncRNA from 1 species